rnacentral:rRNA from 1 species
UACGAAGGGGGCUAGCGUUGCUCGGAAUCACUGGGCGUAAAGCGCACGUAGGCGGAUCGAUCAGUCAGGGGUGAAAUCCCAGAGCUCAACUCUGGAACUGCCUUUGAUACUGUCGAUCUGGAGUAUGGAAGAGGUGAGUGGAAUUCCGAGUGUAGAGGUGAAAUUCGUAGAUAUUCGGAGGAACACCAGUGGCGAAGGCGGCUUUCUGGUCUGUAACUGACGCUGAGGCGCGAAAGCGUGGGGAGCAAACAGG